UACAGAGGUCCCAAGCGUUGUUCGGAUUCAUUGGGCGUAAAGGGUGCGUAGGCGGCGCGGUAAGUCGGGUGUGAAAUCUCGGAGCUUAACUCCGAAACUGCAUUCGAUACUGCCGUGCUUGAGGGACUGGAGAGGAGACUGGAAUUUACGGUGUAGCGGUGAAAUGCGUAGAUAUCGUAAGGAAGACCAGUGGCGAAGGCGGGUCUCUGGACAGUUCCUGACGCUGAGGCACGAAGGUCAGGGGAGCAAACGGG
rnacentral:rRNA from 1 species